GACGAACGCUGGCGGCGUGCUUAACACAUGCAAGUCGAACGGAAAGGCCCUGCUUUUGUUGGGUGCUCGAGUGGCGAACGGGUGAGUAACACGUGAGUAACCUGCCCUUGACUUUGGGAUAACUUCAGGAAACUGGGGCUAAUACCGGCUAGGAGCUCCUGCUGCAUGGUGGGGGUUGGAAAGUUUCGGCGGUUGGGGAUGGACUCGCGGCUUAUCAGCUUGUUGGUGGGGUAGUGGCUUACCCAGGCUUUGACGGGUAGCCGGCCUGAGAGGGUGACCGGCCACAUUGGGACUGAGAGACGGCCCAGACUCCUACGGGAGGCAGCAGUGGGGAAUAUUGCACAAUGGGCGGAAGCCUGAUGCAGCAACGCCGCGUGCGGGAUGACGGCCUUCGGGGUGUAAACCGCUUUCGCCUGUGACGAAGCGUGAGUGACGGUAAUGGGUAAAGAAGCACCGGCUAACUACGUG
rnacentral:rRNA from 1 species